GUGUGUUAGAAGCUGGGUCUUUGCGGGCAAGGUGAGUCUUCCAUUUAUUCAACUGGCCUACAAAGUCCCAGUUUCUGGCUCACUUGAGCAACAGGUUUAAGACCGCAUAAGAAACAUGCCAGCUGGAAAAGUAAUUGGAAUUGUGCAAUUGGAAAAAAAACUAAAUGUAAUUUCGCAUUUCAAUUAAGACAAUGAAUGAACUUUUUCAUAUAGUCUUGUGAAAGGUAAAAAAAAAAAAAAAAGUUAGAGGUUGCACAACUACUAAUUGAGUUCUGAAAUUAGCCCAAAUUUGAAUCCGGCUUUGAAGUAAACUAUCAAGAAUGAAUCAUCCAUAGAAAAUCAUUUACCUUCCGCUAUAUUAUCAUACACACGUUUCAUCGACAAACUCCGGGUGCUCGCUUUCCAUCCCCAAAGUUGUGAAAAUUCUGCCAAAUAGACCAAAUCUAGCAAAGCUCCGUUACAUUGAACAGGUGGAGAACAAGUUGUUAUGGAGGCCUGCUUCUAUAUCCGUCCUGACCCUGACGUGCCGUACAUACUUCCCUAAUGAAUUUAGCAUCCUGACACUAGAUGCUUUAUGCAAUUAAUAGAGGAGGGAGAAGGGUCGCGGUGGCAUCUCUCUGCUGCAAGUGACACGUAGGUAAGGCAUUCGCUGAAAGCUAAUUUGUUUACAUACUGUAAAUAAAAAUUGGGAAAAAAAGGAUAAAUUUAGUUGAGACGACAUCUAUAAUAUCAGUAUAACCAUAAAAAAUAACCAUUGAGUUGAAAGUUUCAAAUAAAAAUGUGUAAUCUUUGAUGCGGUUUCAACAUCUUUCAAUGAGUGCCUUAUAAAGAUUUAAUUUGGUUUUCAAAAAGAAUAAUAAGUGAUCUGUCAUCACAGUUUAUGGGACAAGAGGAACCCUAUUUGAUUUCCAAAAUGGAUAACACAUGCUUCACUGUAGAAUCAUGUGUCUUUUCCCAGCAGACUAAGGAAAAGUCACGAAAAAGUCUUCAUUCAUUCAUUCUCAAUAACAUCAAAUAUAUUUAUCAUAACUGCGUCAUCAUCAUUAUAUAAAGAUAAACCAGACUUCAACUUUUCUGAUGUAUGACAAUAACUGCAUACACUUAAAAUUGAUAUCAUUUCAACCAGUGCACUAAAACCUUUCAUUUUUAAAUACCAACUUCUAAUUUGGACUGCCACCAGCAAGAUAGAGGAUCAUACGGAAAACUUUAAAAGAUUAAUAUUUCAAAUCAUCUUAGCAGGAACGAGUCUCCACUAAAAUCUUUGGGAGCUGCUAAGCGUUGUCCUUAUAAGCUGCAGCAGAGCGGCGCAGGUCGCUAAAGGAAUGAGAGCCAGGUCUUAAGACGUAACAGGACCACAGGGUGACUGAUUAAUAUCAUAAAGAUUUAGAAUGAUAUGAAACAGGGUCAGCUGCUCCCCCCCUUGCCAAUGGCCCUUCAACGAUCAGAGUGGCCUCAUCACUGGCUAGUCUGCUAACAUCUUCAUUUUCCUUCCCUGUCUCAUAUUCUCACACUUGUAUGCAGGCGAGUAGACUUACUUAAAAUAGCCCCCCCCCCCCCCCCCCCCGCUUGUUUUCUACCAUCUCGGCGUUUAGACAACUACGGUGAUAGAAGCUUUGUUGAACUUUUCUCUGGAAUGAACUCAGUCAACCCCCGUCCCUCGUAAAAAUACAUCACUGGAGAUGCUAAUAAACCCCCGAGAAGAUGUCACGUUAGGGAGGGAGGGAGAGAAAAGGCAGCAAGAAAAGUGAGGGACUUUUAGGGGCAGCUGUGUUUUAUUAACCCAGUCAUAAUGCCCCUAAAAAUCCUUAUUGCUCUUGCAAUGCUCCACAAAAACCGCCGUCAACAACCUGAUCCGGACGUUUGUUUGCUGAAGCUGAUGAGCGAGCUGCAAAUGGGAGUGUGUUUUGCACGUACGCACGGUGGAAAAAAAAAAAAAAGCAUCUCGCCUUCAAACAAUUACAAUGUCCGCUUAGCGGGAAGCAUGACGGAGGACGCCCGAUGAUUUAGGCAGGUAGAGCGAAACGGUACAAGUGGGUCGUGACGGGAGGGAGGCCGACGGGAGUGUUAGGAGUCGUAAACAUGGAGACGGCUUGACAGGCAGCAGAUGAGCGUGCUGGCAGGACAGCAGCUGUAUACAGACACAAAAUGGCAACCGGGAUGGAAAGACGUCAGACGCUGGUUGAUUUCAAAAAAUCUUCGAUGGACAAUUGAAACGGACAAUUUGGGUUACGUUGAGGUGUUUUUAUUUUAAUGAGGUCGUUUGGGAUUACAUUGUUGUAUGUGGGGCAAGAACCAUUUUUGUGGUUAAGACUCAAUAUCCAGGUGCUCACCUGUAAUCUUCAGUAUCAGUCUGUGAACUUUAUUGAGGAUAGCAGGAUCAAUACACCCCCCCCCCCCUUUUGCAUGUGUCGGCUUUGUUUUAGAGGGAACAGGACAGGCCCAUGGAGCAUUUGGGAUCCAUGCCUGGGUGUGGUUUGGGUUGCUGUGGUGGUUUGUCAAUGUUGGCCAAUGAGUCAUUACAAACUAUUCUGUUGAGUCUCCUUCGCUGGAAUGACCUUUGCUUGGGCUUGGGGAACAAUCUGCUCAGUGUUCACUAUUUUGCAUUAAUAUUAUAAUUUGAUUUAAGAUGUAUUGACUUCUGCUCAUGCCACAGUUGUUUAAUGCCAUUUUGUUAAGUUGUCUUUGUGAACACUUAAAAGACUGCAAGUCCAAGUGCUCAGCAAUUUAACAACUUAACAUUUAAUAUAAAUAAUGGUUCUUUUGCCUUUAUUUUAGCCUAUAUUUGACCAUUGAUUAAUAUGUUUAUGAUUCCAACUCAAAUUUUUGUUUGUAUUUCUUAAAAGAUGACCUUGAAAAAAGAAUUUCAUAUCAAAUCAUAAUUUGAUUAUUUUUUUAAAAAUCUUUCCGCUUCAGAGCAUAGAGGAUAAGCGAGCAAGACAGACAGACACAGGGAGGGAGGGGGGGGGGAGAUGAGUGAGGGAAAGUGUGGACGAUGACUCAAGGCCAUGAACCACAUGGUGAUGGAGAAGGGAGGAAGGAAUAACUCAUCGUAGCAUGUGGGAUCUCAUACGGCUAUCACAGGACUGACUGCGUGUUUCCCCCACGGGCAUCAAGCACACCUCCUCCAUUGACAUCACUCUCCCAAACUAGGAAGUGACUAAAAGUAUCAAUUGUGGUGCCCUCUCCGUCACACAGGCAUCAUUCUAACUCUCUUCUUUGAGGCUCCUCGAGGCGUCACGCUUGUAAUCAUCGGAACAUAAAAGCGUUUUUAUCCUCCUUUUUCAAAAUGACUGUCACAUGACUCUCCCCCUCGUUCUCCUCGGGAGCUCAUGCUUGUGAAAACAAACUUAUUAUUUCUUAAAUCUGAGAGAGAGCUGCUGCUAACGUUUCUCUACCUGAGUGCGGUACGAAGACAGUCAGACUAAAUAAAAAAAAAAAGUUAUUUGCAGUGUAAAUGCCUCGUUGGAACUCAACUUUAACUCUAGAGCAGGGGUGGGCAAACUUUUUGACUCGCGGGCCGAACUGGGUUCUAAAUUUGGACCGGAGGGCCGGACCAGGAGCAGAUGGACGUAGGCGUUGUGUGACGUCAUAUAAGCGACCUGUAAAGGUCAUUGCAUAAAAGAUCUUGGCCUUUAGUAGGUAGUAAAGCAUGGAUAUUCCAUACAAGUUUUUUUAAAACAAAUGCAUUUAUUAACAGCAUUAAAAAAAUAAUAAUUCACUAAAAAACUGCUAUCAGUGAUUCUCGUAAAAUACGACACUGUUAUUAUGAAUAACAAUCUCCAUCACUUCAGUGCCUGCAGGUCAGAUUAAUGAAAGAUGUUUAUCUUAUGAGAUCACAUCAAACGGCAAACAUUCUGAGCAAAUAUAUCAUCUUGAAGAAUCGGUGAAAGCAUACACCCAAAUAAAAUAAUCAAAACGGCAACACGGUGAUGGGUAUCUGAAAAUCAGAGCAGAGUUUUAACUCGCAAACACCUGGUAACAGAGGUGAGGAAACGCGAAACACUUCCUUAAAGUAAGCCUUAAGAACCUUACAGGUUAAGAUUAGUCGCAAAUAGGUGGUGCAUCAAUGUCCUUGAGCAUCCUGCAUUGUUUGAAAAUGAGAAUGGUCGCUAGUUUCAAUCCCUGCUAUGUGUACAAAUCAUAUUCAAAAUGCAUUUUUUUUACAAUAAACUUGAGAGCCUCCCGUUCAUUUUCAGUGGGAACAGUGUUGUUGGUCUCCCUUUUUUGCUAGUGCGUCAUAGUCUGGAGUAAAAUUUGUUGUGGCAAUUCUUAGGCGAGAUCCGAGGUGUUGGUCCGUUUACCUUGAUCUGUGACGGGUUGAUGUUGAUGUGGCUGAACGUCACGUCGCGUACGUCGAGCCAAAUUGGCCACUCUUUUUUAACAUUCGGCACUCACUUCUUUUUUUCGGGCCACUCAUUUUAAUGGAAGGAUUCCAGGGGAAGGUUUGUGGGUGGCUUUAGCGCAAAACUGCAUCUGAAAGCUCAGCGCACGAAUUAUAGAAUGCUGUCGUCAAAGCCCACGCUCUAAAUUCGGGACUGAUACGAAUAGAGCGAGAGUGCGCCAAGUCCGUACUACUGAGUACGUACACGCACUUGUGAGUAUGCACCGAGCUUUCUGACACGGCUUCCGGUAGUAAGUGCGCAGGCGAGCGCUUCGCCAUCUACUGGGAAGACGCAGUCAUUGCAGGCAAAAUGACCAAAAAAAAAAAAGUUUAAUAAUACAAUUUGUUCAGGGUUGGCGGGCCGGAUUAAACGGUCCCGUGGGCCGGAUGUGGCCCGCGGGCCGUAGUUUGCCCACCCCUGCUCUAGAGCGUACUUAUAAAACAGCUGUAACAAAGAAUCGGAGAUAAACACUGAACAAAAACAGAAAUAAUAAUAAUAAUGAUAAUAAUAACAACAAAAAUAAUAACAACAACAAUAAUAAUAUUAAUAAUGUCUCGAUAGAAAAUGAUCAUCAUUAUGUUCUUUUGUCGCAUAUUUUUUUUCAAAAGUCUGAACGGCCGACUGAACAGGUGAACAAGACACACCCACGAGCCUCUGUUUAACCAAGCUUCACAUUGUUAUCGGCCGUACAUUGACAGCCAUGCAACACUGGAGGUAGCGCUUGAAUGCAGCGCAAAUAAUGUAGACAAAGGCGAGAAGGUGAGGAGAAAAAAAAAAGUGGAUAGCGCCUUACCUUGAGAACCGGCAUGAACUCUCUGACCUACUCUUGCCCCAUCCACCUCUUUGAUUUGCCUUUAUGGUAAUCUGUGAUAGAGAUAGUGAAAUUUUAUUCGUGACAAGCAAACCUGGUGCUGGUUAGCACCAUUUUUUUGGACAAUUCUAAAUAAGCAAAUAAAUGCUUAAAUGUGCUACAUGACCCGUUUCGACGGGAUAAUAUAUUAUGGAAAUUUGAUUAGUAUGUCUGGACAGAUUUGAAAUCACACCCUCACCAAAAAAGAUUGUGCUAAUCUUGGUGCUCAGGAAUUAUACUAUGAAGUAGCUUCGAUUAGACAAAUGCUUUGCCAUCAUCUUCUGGUAUUUUAAGAGCCUUGCAAUUAUGUUUGGAAUGUGUCGAUUAUACAAAAGUAGUGCUUUGCUGCCUUUUUGUGGCUCCUUAGUUGAUGAAGCAGGACUAUGCUGACACCUAGUGUCAAGGAACUAUGUUGAACUGAGUUGAGGCACUUCAUUAAGACACCAAUAGUGCUUUGCCGCCAUCGUAUGGCCCUUAUAGACAAUUAAAAAUAUUUCAGCAGGCUGCAAAUAAGAUUUUUGCUACUCGCAGCAAGCUCGGAACAAACCACUGCCUUGAGACAUGAGUUCAAUUAGUUCCCUGGUGUUGCUCGUAACUCAAAAGACUCAAGGCAAACAUUUUUUUUUGGAUUGAAUUGAACUGCCCUAACCCAAAAACAGCAAUGUGUCAUCGUAAAGUGUCAAAUCUAUACAACAAUUUAAAUGGAAGGCAGCCAGUUGCAUGCAUGUGACCUUUGAAAAAAUGGUGUUGACACGUUGUUGCUAGUGUAAACAGCCUCGUACCGGGCCCCGCGGCAAACUGAAAGUCCCCGCACACACACGUCCCCUGACUCUCGACAUCCAUUCCUGGAUGUGUUUACACAUCGACCUAUAUGGAAUGCCAUUGCGUCUUUCUGCACUAGUUGAGGUUCCAUCGGCUGCUCUUUGCUUCAUACGAUGCGUAUUUGAAUUGUGUGAACGUAUUCCAGCAAAGUUCUGCCAAGCAUCCGCUGAGCCACUUUAGUUUCUAGCUGUUUUCCGCCCGUUUGGGGUCAAGCGUGCACGUUGGCACAGCGUGGCCAAACGCUGUCGAAAGGAUCAACUGCACACUUGUGUGUUGUGUAACGCCACGGGGAGUGUGUGCGCGCCUCGAUGUAUGUGUGUGUGUGUGUAGUGAGAGAGGAAGAAAAAAAAAAAGAAAGUGGGUGUUUGCUUUGGCAGCGAGCGGAUUUGCCAAAGAGGCUGCCAAAGCUCACCAAACAAACCCAAAGCAAGCUCCGAGUCUUUUAUUCUUCCCACCUCUUUGCUGUCAUGAAAAGGUGGCCAUUUUGCUCCGCAUGCAAACCCAGAGAGCGGCAUUGGUUUGUGUUAGGAAAAGGAAAAAAAAAAAAGAAGAGGCAGGAGCAUGGUGCGGUCGAGAAUAAGAAGAACUGGUGAGGAUUUGCAGCUAAUUAGGGAUCGAGCAGAGCCUCAUGGCCACCGCCGGGGCUCAAUGUUUGGCUCUGGAGUUCAGGGUUGGAACUUCUAGUUCUUUAACUGAUUGAAAGUGAAUGGUUUCAAAUGAAGUUAUCCAUGACAUGCUUUGGAAGUGAAAUGAUGCAACGUUCGGCCGUGCGUGUAUCUUUUGCAGCCGGCUGUGUAUCCGUUACAUCCAGCGUUGGUAACCGUACACCUUGAACGCAAGCGGCAGCCACUCACAAUGCCAAAAUAAGCUCUUGAUUUACGGAGACGCUCGAGUUUGCACUUGGCUGCCGGAAGUUCAGAUUUAAUUUUGGUACAGAACGAAUAAGGAAGAUCCAGUAAAAAUUAUUAUUAUUUUUUUUAAAGAGACUUAUAUGCAGAUAUAUUUGCAAGAUUAAAUGUGAUACGUGACAUUUUAUAUCGUACCUAAAAGUUGUAAUCAGGUGUCUUUUGCCAAAUAGAGGAUUGUUUUCACAUUAAUCAAAUGAAGUGUGCUAACAGAACAAGAACGAUGUCCUCGUUGAUGUAAGCGACCACAAAAGUAGGCAAUUUAGGGUUGCCGUGGCAACAUGAAUAAUUGCAAUUCUUCAUUUUCAGGCCACCAUUUGUUGCAAGGCUGUUAUUUAAAAAAAAAUAAAAAAAUCAGUGACGUUAGUUGGUGUUAGUUUAAAUUGGUUAAUCUGGCACUGCUUAUGGCAGCAAGAUGAGAUAAAUCUUAGAACGCCUGCCUCAUUAGUUGCAAUCUGACCUGUGCAAAAACUACCCUCUAAAGAAUAUAAUAUUGCGCUAAAGUAUUGGGACAUCAUAUUUUUUUUUUUUUCUGAUGAAAUUACUUUUUCUAGGGCAGCACACGGGGAUAGUUAUUAGUGUAAGUACAUAAAAGUGGCUAAAUUAUAAAAAUGCUAAAACUCAACCAAUUUGUUUGCCUUAAUGUGUUUUCAUUUUUUCAUGAUUUAACAGUGAAAUAAAUUGAUUAUUAGGACAGAAUUUAUUGUGUGAGUACAAAAACAUACUUUCCAUCUAUGUUUGGAUUUAUUUUCUUAAAUAAAAAUGUUCUUUGAUUUCUUUGUCACUUUACGUCAGUUAAACUAAAAACUACCCACUUGCUAGUUUUGUCUGGAUUAUACAUUGCGGCCAUUAAUUAAUUCACAGUCAUCUGUCUCGUAGUGUUGAUUUUUUGCUGUAGCUUCGAAGUAGGUGUGAAUAUGAGGCAAGCUUAAUGAGUAGGAGUGCAAAAAAAAAAAAAAAAACUGGACUUGUUUUUGCAAAGCAAAUGUACAGCCAAGGGUUUUGUUUCAUCGUAGCUUCACAAUACUUCAGUCACGAUCAGAACGAGUCCUUAUUAAAUAGUGACUUCACUCUAAGGCUCUUCAAAAACGUGAGAUUUACACCGGCGGGGUCACCAGUGGAAGUGGAGCUGGAGCUGAGUGGUGCCGAGACCCCCGGCCCCCUCCUCCCGCACGUUCUCCUUUCUUUUACUGUAUAUGGCUCACAAAAGUCUUGUGAGCGUGUGCCGGUCCAAGUGAGGAAAAGACGCAGCUGAAAGUCACUCGCAAGUAAAAGUAGGGACACUGUGCAUCCAAAAGUACCCCCAUUUAACCUCAAACUUUUUUUUGGUAUCAUGUUUUAUUUUUAAAUUAUAUCUUGGCUUAAGCUUGAGUAGCUACCGUAUUUCCUCAUAUAUAGGCGCAUUUCGGAAGACUAUUGGAAUCUGUUCAAAAAGGGAAACGCAGAGUGGUGCCUUGAGAUACGAGUGCCCUGACUUGAGAGUUAUAUUUUUUUUUUCCAAUCAGUCGGACGAGAUUUUGCUCAACUUUGCAAAUGUAAACUUGAGUGCUGCUUAAUGCCACUGAUAAGGCGUAAUUAUUUACAAUCAGUUUAGUGACGUUAUUGCCAUCGACUACUUUGCCCCAUCUGCUCGGUGGAAUAAAGUAAAUUACUGCACGUCAUUAAUUUCCUUGUCACGCUUCCCCGCCGCACCUUUGACCCCCGACCCCGUCGCCAUACUACUGCUACACUAAACCAACUCUGCCCCAUCAGGCAGCUCACAGACAACCAACACGGCAUGUUGCGGUGUUCAAGCCCCCACACGAAUGCUAAAGGCUCGCUGAGGGGAAUCUUUAAUGACAAAAAAUGGAUUUGAAGUCAAAGUGAACAUAUGACAGUAAGUCUGCAAAGAUUGCGCUAACAAGUUUAGACUAAAUUCAAUUGAAUUACCUUUAUACAUUUGAGGUUCAUCUUGAAUAUUCAGCAAAAAGCAAUAAUGAGCAAUGUGUUGAUUAACUAUGCAAAAGCCAUAAUCCUGUUCUAACUCCAUCUUCUCUCAUGCUAAUUUGUGUCUCCAAUCCAAAGCUGCUAACGAAGCGGAAUGGAGUGUGUGUGUGUUUGUGUGUCAACAAUCAGAUUGUAAUGACACAAUGCUGAAACUUCCAACUAUGAGGACACCUCCAGCUGACCUGCCAAGCAACUAUGGAGCCACUCCGCUGAGACCUUUGCAGAUCUCCAGUUCCCUCUUUCCCUAGCCGGAGGGAGAUUUGUGUGUGAGUUACAAGCCAGGCUUCCAAUACUAAAACAGACACACUUACUGCAUCGGCGCAGUUUUGCACACUUGCAGGCAUGCCGGGACACGAUUCGAUUGUGUUAUGUGUAACAGAAUGCACCGUCACACUCUUGAAUUGUUGAGUAAUAAAAAAAAGUGGAGCUGGGUGACCACUCAGUGAGACCUGAACAUUUCUAUACAUAUGAUGACGAGUGCUGGAGUUCAGUUUCUCGGAGCUAGUUUAAGGUCAGGGACCCGCAGCUGCUCCCUCGGCAGUCUGAAGGUUUGAUGUGACAUUUUAACGUUCUUAAUGGUUACGCAAGUGUGUAUCCCAGUGUCCAUUAAAAGAAUAAGAUAGUGGACCAGCAGUGGCAAUUAUCCCACUAACUUCAUAUUUUUGUUCCUCGUGGCGUGAUAACCCACAGUCCCAAAAUUGAUUUGUAUCCAGACUGUCAGACUUCUAAAUGUCUCAUCAUGUCUGUGUGGUUUCGAUGCUUCUCAAGCCUGCUCUCUCUAUUAGAACAGUCGAACAAAGUAAUGGGAUUUUUCCAGGAGUGAUGUUUGACGAGACACGAGGGGUGUUUUUCCUUUCGGAGGUCCAAAAGUGUUGUGCUGGAGACUGCCUGACACUCCGAUGGAGUUGGACUGUAGCAAUGUCGGCAGGCCAGAGGGAAAUUAUCAUUGUGUGUAUGAGGAAGUGAUGCAUAAAUUUUCACACAUUGCAUUUAAUUCUUUUUAAAUUUCACUGACCUAUGCUGAUUUGAAUGAAAAAUCGGGGAUGACCUAUUGGGAUUUUUCAAGACGUGGCAAUUUUCAACGAGGCUGUCGGCGAUAUCGAAAGUGGUGCGCGUCUUCAAGUUUCAGAUCUUGACGGAAUAUUUGCUGUCGUUUUCAUUUAUCGUGGGUGUGUUGUGAGUGCAGCUUCGUCUGUUUUCAUGAUCUCACGCGGACAAGAUACAUCGAAGCAUCCAGCGUUUGACUCGAGAUCUGCCGAUGGCGUCCAGAGAAUACAUCAGAAUGUGGCGUGGGUGUGGAGGAAGUGUCCCCGGGAGGCGGCAAAAAGUUUCCCUUCCCUUCUCGCCUCGACCCGGGAAUGGACACACCCACUCAACAUGCAUAGCACAUCGACGUAGCGGCGCGUGGCGGCCGCUUGGAUGCACAUUAGAGGCAGGAGGAGACCAACGUGAAAUAGCAUUUCUGGGAAAUAAAGGAUCAGCUCGCAGAAAAAAAAAAAAAGACAGACACAUCCUGGCUGUCUUGUGUGGCCGCGCAAUGAGAAGCACAUGACUUAAAUCGGGCGUGGUGCGUGACUCCUUAUCAGACAAAAGCCUCCCACAACGAGGCCGAACGGGCCCCUCCCGCCAUGUUCGUGGGCAGUCAUGAGGUCUUUUGCCACGCUGCGUCUCGUGGCUUCUUCAAAAAAAAAUCGUCCGCUUCUAAAACAUCCAACCGCUGUGGCAUGUUGUCAAUAAAUAGGUUGCAUAGCCUGAGGACAGACACCGCAGGUUAGGGUGGAGGAAGCUCUUAUAUUAAUCAUUACAGAGGCAAGAUUGAUGAAUUUUUUUUUUUUUUGCGAGCGUUAUCAUAAUCAAAUUAUCAAAUUGCAGAAAGAGACGAUCUGAGCAGCACUAAAUGCAAAUAUGUAUAGUACAAUGAAUGAAUGAAUAGAAAAAAAAAAAAAUGAAUUAAUCAAUCAAUGGCUGCCUCCGUAACCGGCUCACCAAUUUUUAUUGAUGAUGCCAACAGAAAAAAAACCUUGAAAUUAAAAAAACAAAAGUUCAUACAAUUUCAUCCAAAACUGAAUUCUGCUUAACUUUAGUUUGUGUGUCUCAUUUUAAAUCUGCUAAAAAAAAUUCCUCUAAUUUGAUGUCUCAUUAAAGCACACAUAGGCAGGCACUUUUUAAAAAAGUGGCUAAUAAAUCAAAGCGCUCUGAGAGGUAAGGGCAAGGUCAUUUUAAAUAAAAAAAAAAAAAAGGCAGUUAAAUGAAAAGAAGGCCAGCAGGAAGCAAAAAAAAAUUGGAUUUGAGGGUUAUAAAAGUUCAUAUUUCCUCUGAAUCCUUUUUGAAUUUGAUUACUAAGCUAGAACAAGCUUGCAAAAUUUAUGAUCCGUUUGUGCGUGCGUCCGUGUCCGACAUCAGAUGGUGCCAUCACAGAGUGGCGAUGGCCUGAGGCGGCGUGGACGAGUCCCAAAGGGAGCAUUUGAAAUUAGACUAAGCUAAGGUCGGCGGGUUCAUGGGCAGUUAACUUCAAAAGGGUUGAUUGUCUUGACGCGCGCUGCUCGUGGGUGUGUACAAAAGCAACUAGAAAAAGCUUUCAAUGGCCGCCCUAUACUGUAUGUGACUGUGGCUAAUGAUGGACUCAAUCAAUGAGAGAAUGAAAAAAUGAGAGAGUGAGAGAGAAAAGUGCUAACGUGAAAAGGCUUGUAAAAUGUCCUCCACGUGUUCGUUGAAUUCUUCAUGUGUCACAAUUUUUAAAUAAAGAAAUCGGUAUACGAGA